ACGUACACUCCUGCGGGAGGCAGCAGUGGGGAAUAUUGCACAAUGGGCGCAAGCCUGAUGCAGCCAUGCCGCGUGUAUGAAGAAGGCCUUCGGGUUGUAAAGUACUUUCAGCGGGGAGGAAGGCGAUAAGGUUAAUAACCUUGUCGAUUGACGUUACCCGCAGAAGAAGCACCGGCUAACUCCGUGCCAGCAGCCGCGGUAAUACGGAGGGUGCAAGCGUUAAUCGGAAUUACUGGGCGUAAAGCGCACGCAGGCGGUCUGUCAAGUCGGAUGUGAAAUCCCCAGGCUCAACCUGGGAACUGCAUUCGAAACUGGCAGGCUAGAGUCUUGUAGAGGGGGGUAGAAUUCCAGGUGUAGCGGUGAAAUGCGUAGAGAUCUGGAGGAAUACCGGUGGCGAAGGCGGCCCCCUGGACAAAGACUGACGCUCAGGUGCGAAAGCGUGGGGAGCAAACAGGAUUAGAAACCCUAGUAGUCCCA
rnacentral:rRNA from 1 species